rnacentral:rRNA from 1 species
GAUGAACGCUGGCGGCGUGCCUAACACAUGCAAGUCGAGCGAACGGACGAGAAGCUUGCUUCUCUGAUGUUAGCGGCGGACGGGUGAGUAACACGUGGAUAACCUACCUAUAAGACUGGGAUAACGUCGGGAAACCGGAGCUAAUACCGGAUAAUAUUUUGAACCGCAUGGUUCAAAAGUGAAAGACGGUCUUGCUGUCACUUAUAGAUGGAUCCGCGCUGCAUUAGCUAGUUGGUAAGGUAACGGCUUACCAAGGCAACGAUGCAUAGCCGACCUGAGAGGGUGAUCAGCCACACUGGAACUGAGACACGGUCCAGACUCCUACGGGAGGCAGCAGUAGGGAAUCUUCCACAAUGGGCGAAAGCCUGACGGAGCAACGCCGCGUGAGUGAUGAAGGUCUUCGGAUCGUAAAACUCUGUUAUUAGGGAAGAACAUAUGUGUAAGUAACUGUGCACAUCUUGACGGUACCUAAUCAGAAAGCCACGGCUAACUACGUG